AACGCGAAGAACCUUACCCAGACUUGACAUGCAGUGGAAGUUUGUAGAGAUACAAACGCCCUUCGGAGCCGCUGCACAGGUGCUGCAUGGCUGUCGUCAGCUCGUGCCGUGAGGUGUUGGGUUAAGUCCCGCAACGAGCGCAACCCUUAUCGUUAGUUGCCAACAGGUAAUGCUGGGAACUCUAGCGAGACUGCCUGGGUUAACCAGGAGGAAGGUGAGGAUGACGUCAAGUCCGCAUGGCCCUUAUGUCUGGGGCUACACACGUGCUACAAUGGUCGGUACAGAAGGCAGGGAAGCCGCGAGGUGAAGCAAAUCCAAGAAAGCCGAUCUCAGUUCAGAUUGUAGUCUGCAACUCGACUACAUGAAGACGGAAUUGCUAGUAAUGGCGAGUCAGCAACAUCGCCGUGAAUACGUUCCCGGGUCUUGUACACACGC
rnacentral:rRNA from 1 species